AGUGAAAUGCUGAAUACAACAGGUGUAGGUAGACCUUACAGUGAAAUGCUGAAUACAACAGGUGUAGGUAGACCUCACAGUGAAAUGCUGAAUACAACAGGUGUAGGUAGACCUUACAGUGAAAUGCUGAAUACAACAGGUGUAGGUAGACCUUACAGUGAAAUGCUGAAUACAACAGGUGUGGUAGACCUCACAGUGAAAUGCUGAAUACAACAGGUGUAGUAGACCUUACAGUGAAAUGCUGAAUACAACAGGUGUAGUAGACCUUACAGUGAAAUGCCGAAUACAACAGGUGUAGUAGACCUUACAGUGAAAUGCUGAAUACAACAGGUGUAGUAGACCUUACAGUGAAAUGCUGAAUACAACAGGUGUAGUAGACCUCACAGUGAAAUGCUGAAUACAACAGGUGUAGUAGACCUCACAGUGAAAUGCUGAAUACAACAGGUGUAGUAGACCUCACAGUGAAAUGCUGAAUACAACAGGUGUAGUAGACCUCACAGUGAAAUGCUGAAUACAACAGGUGUAGUAGACCUCACAGUGAAAUGCUGAAUACAACAGGUGUAGUAGACCUUACAGUGAAAUGCUGAAUACAACAGGUGUAGUAGACCUCACAGUGAAAUGCUGAAUACAACAGGUGUAGUAGACCUCACAGUGAAAUGCUGAAUACAACAGGUGUAGUAGACCUUACAGUGAAAUGCUGAACACAA